rnacentral:rRNA from 1 species
AUUGAACGCUGGCGGAAUGCUUUACACAUGCAAGUCGAGCGGCAGCGCGGGGGCGAACCCUGGCGGCGAGCGGCGAACGGGUGAGUAACAUAUCGGAACGUACCCAGUCGUGGGGAUAACUAUCCGAAAGGAUAGCUAAUACCGCAUACGACCUGAGGGGUGAAAGCGGGGGACCGUAAGGCCUCGCGCGAUUGGAGCGGCCGAUAUCGGAUUAGCUAGUUGGUGAGGUAAAGGCUCACCAAGGCGACGAUCCGUAGCUGGUCUGAGAGGACGACCAGCCACACUGGAACUGAGACACGGUCCAGACUCCUACGGGAGGCAGCAGUGGGGAAUUUUGGACAAUGGGGGCAACCCUGAUCCAGCCAUUCCGCGUGAGUGAAGAAGGCCUUCGGGUUGUAAAGCUCUUUCAGCAGGAACGAAACGGUGGUCCCUAAUACGGGCUACUAAUGACGGUACCUGAAGAAGAAGCACCGGCUAACUACGUGCCAGCAGCCGCGGUAAUACGUAGGGUGCGAGCGUUAAUCGGAAUUACUGGGC